rfam:Chlorocebus sabaeus isolate 1994-021 chromosome X, whole genome shotgun sequence.
GCCAGGCGAGGUGGCUCAUGCCUGUAAUCCCAGCACUUUCGGAGGCCGAGACGGGCAGAUCACGAGGUCAGGAGAUCGAGACCAUCCUGGCUAACACGGUGAAACCCCGUCUCUACUAAACAUACAAAAAACUAGCCGGGCGAAGUGGCGGGUGCCUGUAGUNNNNNNNNNNACUACAGGCACCCGCCACUUCGCCCGGCUAGUUUUUUGUAUGUUUAGUAGAGACGGGGUUUCACCGUGUUAGCCAGGAUGGUCUCGAUCUCCUGACCUCGUGAUCUGCCCGUCUCGG